GCCAGGGCAACCAGGGAUUUGCGGCCGGGCCGUACCACUGGCAGCGCGGCAGGGGCGGCCGGCCAGGCCCCGCUGGGCGCAGGCCUAUGGAGGGCGGAACCCUGGAGCCCCCAGGGGAGGGCACGGCGCAGGGGAUGUGUGGAUGCAUACAGCCAGACCCACCGGCAAACAGCCUCAAGCCUGGAGCACAGAAAUGCCCAGGCAGAUGGCCCUGUGCAGGGCUGAGCUGGAAGAGGUAACCAGGGCCUCCUCGCACCUUGCCCACCAGAGUGAGCCUGGCCUGCAGCUCCCUGCACUCCCGCUGCAAGGCAGCAAUCUGCUUGUCCUUGGCCAGCAGUGCACUGGCUGUCUCACUGAGGUCCCGGGCUCGCUGGCGGGCUAGGGCCUUCCGACACAACUCCAAGCUGGCCCCCGGCCGGGGCAAAGGGGCACUCACCUAGCCAGAGGAGGGGUAAGGCCAAUGGUCACCUGAGGGCUGGGGCACUUCUCCCACUCCUCAUCUCCUCCCAAAGGAGGAGUUAGCAUGAAAACCUAGGGGGGUAGCCACAUGCUUCCACCUUGACUGGGGUCUCAGAAAACCAGCAGCCUCACUCUACCCCAUCCCAGCAGCCUCACUCUACCCCAUCCCAGCAGCCUCACUCUCUACCCCAUCCCAGCAGCCUCACUCUACCCCAUCCCAGCAGCCUCACUCUACCCCAUCCCAGCAGCCUCACUCUCUACCCCAUCCCAGCAGCCUCACUCUACCCCAUCCCAGCAGCCUCACUCUACCCCAUCCCAGCAGCCUCACUCUACCCCAUCCCAGCAGUUGGAAAGGAUUAACUCUACCUCUGAGUUUAGGAUCAAAGGAUGCUGCUAAUUUGGGGCUGCCACUGUGAUGGGUCUCAUCCCUGCCCCCACUCCAGCUCUAUACCCUGAGAUGAGCUCAGCAGGAGGCUGCCGCCAGCAACAGCACGUGGUAAUCCAGAAUCCUGCUCCCUGCCUGCUCAGGAACCUCCCCAUCCAGCUCUUCUCUGCUCCCUGCAGCUCGAGAAACCUUUGGCCUCCUUGCCUGGCCAGCCUCUGCCCUUCCUGCACCUUAGCCCUAGAUUCUUGCUUUCCUAGGUGCUGAGACUGUGACUCCCAAGCUUCAGACAGCCCUCAGGCCCAGCCCUGGCUCCCCUCUUCCCUGGUCACCCAGCCUCCGCCCAGCAGCCUCCUUUCCUCACCACCCUCAGGUUCGUUUCCUGCAGCUUUCGGGCCCUCUCCUCCAGGCGCUUGGCAAUGACCGCCAGCUCGGCGUUCUUCCUCUUCAGCCUCCGCACCUUCUCUUCCGUCUCAGGGAAGCUGCUCUUCCUCUGACAAGAGGUCAGGCAGAAUUGGGGCAUGUAGGGAGCACCCCACAGACCCAGUCCUAACGGCCCAAGUCUUGGGCUAGAGCCCUAGGCUCACAGUGGGGUCCUUGGCAACUCUAGGCAGGGGUUCACCCUCUCUGGGUCUCAGGAUUUUAUCACCUCCAUGGAGCCCCCACUUGGAGAGAUGUUCAUGGGGUGAGGAGGGCACUGAGGCAGAGGGCCUGGCUCCAGCCAGAACGCAGGACCCCAGUCUCCAAGCCUUACCAGCAUCUGGUUUUCCUCCUUAAGGAUGGCACAGCGCUGCCGCAGCUCCCCCAGGGCCCUCAGCAGCUCCAGAUUGGGCCUGUCCCCAAAGCUCAUAUUCAGCUUGGCCUGGCAUGGGAAAGGACCGAGGACAGCACCUCAGAAACCCACGUCACCCAGCCAGAGCCUUCCCUGUGGAAGCGUCCCCCAUCCAUGGUCCAAGGAGACAUGGAGAUGAAACAGUUUCCCCCACGUCCCAGGCCUUCAGAGAGGAGCAGAGGAGGCCUAGGAGAAGGAACUGUCCAGUCCUCCCUGUCCACAUAGGCACCCCCAAACCUGGCACCCUCCUGCUCCUCCCUGAUCCUUCCCAUUCCUACCCAUCUUCUCCUCCAGAGACAUGCCAGCUCGAGCUCCCACUCCCAUCCCUCCAGACUCCCCUGCCCUCCCCCAAAGUCCUGUUCCUUCCCUCUUCUACAGGAGCCUGCUCACACCCACCCCAACCCUGGCUCAGCCCAGCACCAAGCCCCCUCCCCUCAAUCUACUUCCUCUGCACUGAUUCUCUGUGCACCUCCACACUCCCCCUGUACCCCCCAGCCCCCGAGGACAGACAGACUCAUGGAAGAAGAGACACAGACAGACGCACUGUCAGGGGGAGGCACAGAGAGGGACGGGGCAGCAGCAGGGCCAGAUCUAGAUAGACAGGCAGAGGGGUCAGAAGGACAGACAAAUGACGAAAGAAAUGGAGCCCCUCAGAUUUCUGCUCGAUGAAGAGAGGACAGAUAGCCACAGAGGUGGACCCACAGACAGGCCAAGAGAGAAGAGGUGGGCGUAGGGGAUGCAUACUUUGCCUCACCUCCUGGCCAGGCUGGAGGACAUGGUGAGAGACCCCCACCUUGCAGACCCCAGCCCUCCACAGAUCCCUUACCUUCGGGAAAACCUCCACUUCCUCAUCCUCUGGCCUCUGGCAAGCUGGUCCAGAGCUCGAUGCUUGCUGCCCCAGGCUGGGCAGACAAGCCUCUGUUCCUUCAGGGUCAGUUCCCCCCACAGGCCUGGAGCUCCCGGCUCCUUUGGGCUUGGAACUCUCCUCAGACCUCAGUUCUUGAAGCUGCAGAGCUGCCGGAGGAGUAUCAGCGACGCUUGGGGCUGCACUGCCAGGUUCACCCCCUCGACCUGGAGUCCAGCUCUGCCAGGUUGGCUGAGCUCCUCCCCACCCACAAAGGAGGCUGCGGAAGGCGCCAGGGCUGCUGGAGCUGGAGCCAGGGGCUCCUGCCCCCAACAGGAUUCCUCACAUCCCAGGACCAGCUGGAAAACGCGGUGAGAGUUGGAAAGAGACUGCUCAGUGAGGACUGCCCUGUGAACCAGCUUGGAUUCAUGGCAUUCACCUCCACGUUCUGCACGCGGGGCCAAGGGAAGGGAGGCAGCCCAGGCAGCUACAGAACUUGAUGAAACACACUCAAUCUGAAUCUCGCUUGAUCGUCAUGCUGACCCAGUGAGUCUACUCAGGGUCAGGCACCCUUCCCGACUACUCACUCAGCAGCGGAUCCCCACCCGCCUCUGACUCCCAGUGUCUUUCGGCUCCAACGUAAGUUCACCGAACGUCUAAGAGCUGAGGAUUCAAAGGCAUGUACGACCGCCCGUGCCCUCAGCUGCAAGACCUGUCCGCGAUCCUAUGAGCCCCAUUCCGCCCUCUUUCCCCGACCUUGGUCCCCCAUGGGCCCUACAACCAGGUCCCCGACUGACACCUUGACCAGCGAACACAGCAAACAGGCCCGCAGAUGCCGCAGGUCCUUCGGCACCGUCUCCAGGGCCAUCUUCGCCGAUAGGAAGAGCAACAGGGAGAUAGACGACAACAGCCUGUGCACCCGCAGGAAGUAAAUAGCUCGUUACCCAGAAUCCCCGCCACUUCUGGCGCUUAGACUUCCUCUUCCGGUGUGGGCGGGCGCCGGCUCCGCCCCUACCCCCGCCAGAGGAGAUGGUUUCUCCCACCGGCAGGCGGGGAGGCGGGGCGACCGGCCGCCACCUGGGCCGGGGCGCGUCCCAGCCACCUGAGCCCGCCGAGGGCGCGGCGGAGGCUGUGUAGGGUAGUCAGCGGGCCCCCGGCGGGGGGGACGGAGGGGGCGGCUGCGCUUGCGCGGGAGUGUGUCGGGCUGAGCCGCAGCGCCGAGACGCGGGCCGUUUGAUCUGGGCUGCUGGCCCUGGGCGCCGGUCCUGUUCCCCGAUGGUAACCCGAAGUUUUUUUGUUUUGUUUUGUCUUCCCGUUGUAGAAGCACUGGGGGCAGUGAAUCCACUGUCUCCCUCUGGAUUAUGUCUGGAGAGACCCAGAACGAAUCCAGGGACAGCCCCACCCCUCCUUCCUAACUGCGAGAGCGCUAUAGGGUUUCCACUUGCUUCCCACAGGAAUGCUGGCCUGGGAGCUACGGCGGAAAAAAUGCGUAUUUAUCUUUUAAAACUCCGUCUGUUUGCUCGUUCCGGCUCAUAAUUUAUACUUUGGGCAGUUCUUAGCACUUAGACACGGUUCCUUUACUAAAGAACAUUUGUAGAAGAUUAGGUGUCCUUUUUUCCGCUUUCAUUUCGCCAUCUAGGAAGCGAAAUGCCUUGUUCUAUAGGCACCAAACCACCACCCCUACCAAACCUUUCUCGGGGAAGCAGAAGGGGAACUUGUGCCUUGUGAGGAAGCGACAAAGGCCCUUUCUGGCCCUGGAGACUUCAUGCCAAUGGAGCACCAGCUGUCUGUCCUCGCAAUAGCCCGAGUGCAGGCAGAACGCGGUCAUUUGUGUUUAUCUGAGAGGAGCUUUGGGAUAUAAAUAGUUUCAGGCCCCGCUGCUCUAUCAUUCCAGCCCAGCCUCCUGAUUGAGCUGCUUCUGGGCGGGCUUGCUUCUUGUUGACGGUCCCAUGCUGUGUUCAGAUGGGCUCUGUGACAGGUUUGGAUGUUUUCUAUCACUGAAUAAAACUUUCCACUUUGGAACAUAUUUUCUACACUCUAUUAAUAAUCUCAUGUAAGUCCUGCAACAACUAUGAAGUAGGCCCAUUUUAUGGACUGAAAAAGCGAGGCACAGAGUAUUUGCGCAAGGUCAAAGUCACUGAAGUAUGAUAAUGUGUGAAGUGAACAGUAUAAUAAUAUGACUGAAGCACAGUAAGAAUCCAGUCAUGCUUUCUCCUUCCCUGAGCUCACUAAGCCACACUUUUAGGGGCUUACAAACCAGUUCUUAUUGCCAAGCCCUCUACUCUACCCUAUCCUUUCAUAAAUCGGAGCCUAGCCUCUGAUAACAGAAAUAAUUUAUUUCUUUUGAUGUAGAAAGAGAUGAAGUUGUUACCCUGAGUGACAGUCACGACAGAACAAAACCACAAGACCAGACCACAUUUGUGGAUAAAUAUAUUAGCAAAUAAAUAUAUUUCUUAACAUAGUGCCUGA